rnacentral:lncRNA from 1 species
GGAAGGGUUUAUAACUUCAGGUGGAUGCUGAACAGAUAAUUCUGCAGAGCAAGCUUUAUAAAAAGCCAAAGUAGAUGAUGUGGGGUAGAGGGUGAAAGGGGAUGAGUGAAGGCUCCUAGAAUGAAGCUCCAACUUUCCAACUUGAGAGUUCAGUGAUCAGAGGCAUAUUUCAAUGUCUUUUUAGGUGAGAUAUAUAACAUACCUUUCCUAACCCAUGAUAUUUUUAAGAUUAAAAACUGAAGGUGAGUAAAUCUUGAAACUGAAACACGAUGCAAAUCUUGAAGCAUGAAGCAAAUAUUAAUAAUUAUUCUCACUGGUCUUCAUGCUAGUAAUGAUGAUGCCAUUGAAUCUUGAAGGUCCUUAGUAUUGAAGAAUCUGCUAUCAACAAGUAUACAAGCAUAGAAGGGCACAGACGUUAAAUGUUCUUGGACAAGUAUUACUGAUGUUACCUGGAAGUGGUAGAAAUGAGACCCAGGGAGAAUGUUCCAUUUGAGGAAGAGGGGAUACUGAUGCCAUAUGGCUGUGAUCAUCUUCCUAUAUCUCAAAGACUUUGCCCUAAACAUUGUUGCAUUUCCUUAAAGAAAAGAUCAAGAGUUGAGAUUAAACUUGACUUAAAACGCCAGAUAUUUGCCAGAACCUCUAGGAAAUUGAUGAAAUAUUCCUGUCUGAAGGCUGCAACCAAACAUGAUCUCAUCCAUAUCAGCAGCAUUACUAAUAAAACACCAAGGUGCUUCCUGACCUCCAGGAGAGAUGUGUUAAAUUGGAUGGCAGAAAUAAGUCACUGGAACAAAAUGCUUGAGAAAGAACCUGCUCUGCUCCCUACUUUCUUAAAAAUACACUCACAUGUUCUCCCAUAUACCAAAACAAUUAUUCUAGAUUGGAGAUAUUUAAGGAUUCACACUUACGUAAAGGCACUCAGCUUUGCCAUGCCUACAAUGUGGAUAAUAACAUGUGCCUUAUGCAUGCUUCUGAGAAAUGCAAGGUAGAGAAGACUGCUUUUGAAGCUCUGUGGCUGAUCAACAACAUGUUUUAAAAGGCUUUUGAUGUAUACAUGGCUCAUUAAGUAAAGGUCAAAAUUGGACAAUGUCCUGUUAAUUUCCUUUUGCUAGAAAAAUCAAUAUCUGCAUCAACAUUCAUUAAAUUUGACAGAAGCUAAGAAAGUUAGAUGUGAAAUGUAAAUCAAUACUUAUUCCUGGUAGGAUUAACUUGCUGUACAGAGAAUAUAAAGCAUCAAUUCUUUAUACACAUUGUUCCACCCAAUAUUCCACUCUGGCUUUAGGGAGGCCACAUUUUGCCUUUGUGGCCUUCAACCAUAAUCUGGUUUUGGGUUUCUGUUAGCUGGAG